rnacentral:rRNA from 1 species
AGUGAACGCUGGCGGUAGGCCUAACACAUGCAAGUCGAACGGCAGCACAGUGAGAGCUUGCUCUUACGGGUGGCGAGUGGCGGACGGGUGAGGAAUACAUCGUAAUCUACUUUUUCGUGGGGGAUAACGUAGGGAAACUUACGCUAAUACCGCAUACGACCUACGGGUGAAAGCAGGGGAUCUUCGGACCUUGCGCGAUUGAAUGAGCCGAUGUCGGAUUAGCUAGUUGGCGGGGUAAAGGCCCACCAAGGCGACGAUCCGUAGCUGGUCUGAGAGGAUGGUCAGCCACACUGGAACUUAGACACGGUCCAGACUACUACGGGAGGCAGCAGUGGGGAAUAUUGGACAAUGGGCGCAAGCCUGAUCCAGCCAUACCGCGUGGGUGAAGAAGGCCUUCGGGUUGUAAAGCCCUUUUGUUGGGAAAGAAAAGCAGCAGGUUAAUACCCCGCUGUUCUGACGGUACCCAAAGAAUAAGCACCGGCUAACUUCGUG